GGCGGACGGGUGAGUAAUGCCUAGGAAUCUGCCUAGUAGUGGGGGAUAACUUGCCGAAAGGUAAGCUAAUACCGCAUACGUCCUACGGGAGAAAGCAGGGGACUCUUCGGAGCCUUGCGCUAUUAGAUGAGCCUAGGUCGGAUUAGUUAGUUGGUGAGGUAAUGGCUCACCAAGACAGCGAUCCGUAACUGGUCUGAGAGGAUGAUCAGUCACACUGGAACUGAGACACGGUCCAGACUCCUACGGGAGGCAGCAGUGGGGAAUAUUGGACAAUGGGGGCAACCCUGAUCCAGCCAUGCCGCGUGUGUGAAGAAGGCCUUUUGGUUGUAAAGCACUUUAAGCAGUGAAGAAGACUCCGUGGUUAAUACCCACGGACGAUGACAUUAGCUGCAGAAUAAGCACCGGCUAACUCUGUGCCAGCAGCCGCGGUAAUACAGAGGGUGCAAGCGUUAAUCGGAAUUACUGGGCGUAAAGCGAGCGUAGGUGGCUUGAUAAGUCAGAUGUGAAAUCCCCGGGCUUAAC
rnacentral:rRNA from 1 species